GCUCGGUUAGCUCAGCUGGUUAGAGCGUCGUACUAAUAUCUCCCCGCCUAAGGAUAUAUAUAGUAUAUGCGAAGGUCAUGAGUUCAAUCCUCAUACUGAGCA
rnacentral:tRNA from 1 species